UUCUUCUAUAUUAGAUUUGAUACUAAGAUAGUCUUUAAAAAAUUAUAUAGUAAAUAACUUAGAAAUAGCUAUUAUUAUACAAUUAUGCUAAAUUUUAUAUUGAUUUUAAUAUUUAUUAAAUUAAAUAAUUAAUAUUAUACAUUAGAAAUGUAUAAAAAUUAUAAAAACUGAGGGCAGCUAGGUGGCUCAGUAGAUUGAGAGCCAGGCUUAGAGAUGGGAGGUCCUAGGUUCAAAUAUGACUUUGGCUAUUUCCUAGCUGUGUGAUCCUGGGUAAGUCACGUAACCCCCACUGACUAGUCCUUACUGCUCUUCUGCCUGGGAACCAAUGCAUAGUAUUGAUUCUAAAACAGAAGGUAAGGAUUAAAAAAAAACAACAAGCCACCUAAGGUUUCAGCCCACAGCCUGUUUCUAAAAUGCAACUAGGAUUGCCUUCUAUGUUCUCCACACUUGAGAUUCAAACUAUCAGUGUUGGCUUGAGAAUACUGCUGACUGAUGGUGGAAGACUCUCCAGAUGACCACCCUGGAGGCAGGUACAUGACCUCUGGUGAUGCAGAGAGGGAACCUUGUCAUGAGUUCAUCAGAACCUUUAAGACCCAGCUGUUGAAGUCCAGUGGCAAGACAAAAGUCAGGAUGACUUGGGACACAGAGGAUGAUCCUUUGAUCUUUGAUGUUUCACCAAGCUGGCUAAGAUGUGAACUGGAAUGACCUCCAGGAAUUGAUGCAGAGUGAAAGGAGCAGAACCAGAAGAACCUUAUAAACAGAGACUAAUACACUGUGGCACAAUUUAAUAUAAUGUUCUUCUCUGCUAGCAGCAAAACUAUGAUCCAGGACAAUUCUGAAGGAUUUAUGAGAAAGAACACUAUCGACAUCCAGAGGAAGAACUGUGGGAGUAGAAAUAAAAAAACAAAAAAAAACUGCUUGAUUACAUGGGUUGACGAGGAUAUGAUUGAGGACAUAGACUCUAAAUGAUGACCCUAGUGCAAAUACCAAUAAUACGGAAAUAGGUGUUGAUCAAUGGCACAUGUAAAACCAGUGAAAUUGCUUUUUGGCAAUGGGAGGGGGUAGGAGGAGGGGAGAGAAAGAGCAUGGGUCAUGUAACCACGGAAAAAUAUUCUAAAUUAAUUAAAUAAAAUUUUUCAAUUAAAAAUAAAAAGGGCUGAGAACAAUUUCUUUGGAGGCACCCACCUUUAGGGAAUACAUGGAAAAAUGAUGAUGUAGGAAAAAGAUGUGGAAGAGAACAAAGAGAGAAUAGCAUCAAGGGAAUCAAGGGAGGAGAGACUAUCCAGGAGGAAGAAGAAAUCAAAAGUAUCAUAUGCCACAAAAAAGUCAAAGAAAAAUAUGAUGUAGGGGGGAGGGCACAAGGAAGUCAUUGCAUUUAGCAGUAAUGGGUCAUUGAUGACCUCUGAGAUGGCAGUAUCAAUUAAGAUUAAGAAGAUAAGAAAUGAAAAAUGGGAUUUAGAUGAAUAGACUCUAAGAUUAAACUACAGGAAUUAGAGAAUUAGCAGGUGAUAUAAUGAACCUAAGUGCAGUUGGUAAGAAUGUAUUUGCCUGGAGUCUUACAAAUCAAAAACUGAAAAGGAAGGGAAAGAGAGAAAACUACCUAUUUAAAUCUACCAAGCUAGAUAAUGUGCGUGAUUUAGGAAGAAAAGUGGUAGUGAUACCCAAAAGUGCAUAGAAGUAAAAAAUUGUAGAAAGGAGUCAGUAAUGAAUGACAUGGCCUCAGAUGCCAAUACACAAAUAUACAAAGUAUAGACAAUGAACAAGAUGAACUAGAGAAAUUAAAGACAGGAAGAAAAAAUUUACUUUUUAACAAUCACUGAAAUGUGGUAGAUUGAGCCCCAAGAACAAAAUCUGGCUCUGGAAGGGUUUAGCUGAUUCUUUUUAUCACCAUCAUCAUCAUCAUCAUCAUCGUCAUGCAAAACACACUUCCAUAUUGGUCAUUGUUGUAAGCCCACACUCAUACAAAACCAAAAGCCCAAGAUAAAACCAUAAAU